rnacentral:lncRNA from 1 species
CACUUUCACAUUGGUAAACCCAUACAGAUUGCGUGAUGCUCACCAGCUUUGGAUAUUUCAAAAACUUUUGGACAGCAAGUGAACUUCGGAAGGUCCAGCUUAAAACAUUUAAACGCUUCAAACCCAGCAAUUCCUUCAUCAAAGGUUCAGCAUCAGCACAUAGAACGUUAGCUUCUUCUUCUUCUGUUACACUGCAACAACCGCACCCACGCAACCUGAGUACCUCCAAAUUUGAAAAGCCAGAUAUCAAUUGAUGUGGAAUUAUAGACAAAUUAAAUGCAUACUCCAAGUUCAAAUAUCUCAACUUCUCCAACGCCUUCAGCUCUUGCGGCAACCCAGUUAUGUCAGCCGAUGAUAGAUCAAGAUGAUGUAAUGAAACCAAACUUGAAAUCCCUGAAGGUAGUGUACUUAGGUGAAAAUUUUCACUGAGACUUAAUACUCUAAGAGACGACAUAGAUUGAAAGAAGCCGUCAGUGAUCUCCACAAUCGGAUUUUCAUCCACAAGUAAAGUUACGAGACGCGGACACGUGGGAAUUUCCGAUAGGCUUUCAAUUCCAUUUCCCAUCAGAGAUACCCGUUUGGCACCUUCCCAUUCUUCAAUCUUUGGUGCUUCGGUCAAUUUAACUCCAGCGCGAACCAGAAAGUUCUGCUCCUCCUUGUCUACCGUGCACGCUAUCCAUAAUGACAUCUCACGAAUCAUAUCGUGCAUCUUUACAUGAUCAUCGCCUUCUUCCUCCAAUAAGCAUGCUUGAAGAAGGUCAUCAAUAAAAUCGCAUCCAUCAUCAAAAUCAUAUACAAAUCCUUCACUAAUCCAGUAAUCAAUCAAUUCCCUUCUAGGAAUUUCGUAGUCUUCAGGAUAUAAACAACAAUACAGGAGACAGGAACGAAGUUCGUCCGUAGACAAACUAUCAUAGCUGAACUUUAAACGCGAAAACACCUCUUCUUUCAUACCUGAGAAUUUAGAAGCUGAUGUUGUCAUUUUGUGAAUUGCACGUUUCCAAUCUCCAACUUUCCUUUGGCUUUUCAUGGCUCGACCCACUGUUUUAAGCGCUAGCGGCAACCCACCACACUCUCUUGCCAGGGUUUCGGCUAGCUCUGGAAUACUGGUAUGACUGUCAAGAGUGGAUCUGUCGACCAUCUCCUGAAAUAAUUCCCAGGCUUUAUCAUGCGCCAAACUAUACACUUCCAACUUUUUAGCGUCCAUUUGAUCGCAAACACCAGCUGAACGAGUUGUCAAGACUAUUUUGGACCCAUCAUUUAGAUUUUGAAGAGGGACACCCAAUUGUGUUAAAUCAAUGCGCUCCCAUAUAUCAUCCAAUAACAACACAAACUUCUUUCCGCUUAAAAUUCUAGCGAUGUCCGCAGCCUUGUCUCGAAGACUUUUUUUCUCCCAGCUUGGGUCUUCUGAAAAGCCAAUCCUUUUUCCAAUGUCAUCUUGAAGUGUUGACGCAGCCGCCCAGAUAACAACAUCAAAAUUAUGCUGUUGAUGGCAGAAGUUGUUGUUGACUUGUUUUAAAAGGGUAGUUUUGCCGACUCCCCCUAUACCAUACAAGCCGAUAAUUCCCCUGUUAUUUUCCUCAUCAGUGAUACAUCGCCAAACUCGAUCCACUAGUAAUUCUUGACCAACAAUUGUUUGCGCAAGAGGUAAUUCAAUUGCUGCACCAUCUGGCGCCUUCUCAACAACGACUUCAAUUUUUUCUCCGUCCUUCCUUAAAUUGAUCACUCGAUCCGUCAACAUGACCACUUUUCUGCCGAAAUCGUAGCUUGAAGCCAAGUUUUUGGAACAGAGGCCUCCAAGGCACAAUCUAUCCAUUUCUUGAGCUUUAACUUGUUGCAGCUUCGUAAAUUCAUUUUCCAGUUUUUGCACAUCUUCAAGCCACCCUGCGACCUGGUUCGUUCGUCUGGUUCGAGGUCGUUGUUCUUCGACCUCAACCCUGGUCUUCAGAUCGUCCCUUGUUCGAGUCAAUUUGUGCAAUUCAGUCUCCAAGCCCUCAAGAUUUUUUUCGAGACCCCAUAUAUAUUUUGCUUGUUGACCAACGCAGUUUAAAGUUCGAUUAAAAAAGUCUGGUUGUAAGAAAGUUGAGAUUAAGUUACCCAUUGUCGUUCACGAAAAGAGGAAGAGAAGCGAUGGGUACAAUGAAAAGAAUUAUGCUGCUUUGGAGAGGGUUAUAUUUAGAGAAGCACAAUACCGAAAUAAAAAUAUGAUACAUUUGUUGCUUUAUAAUUCAUAUGUCAAAUAUCAAGAAUAUAAUGAUACGCUUACACGUCAUAUAAAAUUUGCAAUUCAACCCAGUAAUCACAUAGUUAAUAUUAAAUCUUAUCAUUUGUUAUCUAAGUGAUAAAUUUAUAUUGAUAAUAUAUUUUUUAGAAUAAAAAUUUUCUACCUUAACUUGGAUGAAGAUUCAAAAUAUUAAGUCAAUGAUAGAUAGAUAAAAAAUAAAAUAAAAUAAAUUUUAACAUUAAUUCCUGGAAUCUGUCACCAUUUUUUUCCCUUAGUAACAACCAUGUUCGCUUGAGAGACCACCACAACAUGAAUAAUUUCUUCUUGGUCGACCAAAUUGGCCUUAAGAGGCUUGUGAUCUCCCUUUCUAUACUUGCAUUUGAUAGCAAAAUGUCCACAAACAUAACAAUUGCCUUUUUAAGGAAUCAAACAAGACUUAAUUAGGCGAUAAACCAGUCUAUUGGCUAGAGCCACUCAAAGUUUGAAUGAAGGUAAUUUUUCUAUCAAGAGAAGAAUUGUAAUCCUUAGAAUAUUUGAGAUGAUUUUGAGUGGUGCCAUAUCAAAAUUGAUAUAUACUAAUUUUGAUAUAUAAUUAUAUGAUUAUAAAUAUAAUGAAUAAUAAUCUAAAAAAAAAUAGGCGAUAAAGUUUAUUACAUCCACGAACAUAAAGGUCACGUUCAAGUAAAUGUGACCGUUGGACGUUGACAGCCCCUAAAAAAGAACCAAAAAAAAUCUAAUUUGAUAAAACGACGUCAGGAUUCGAAAUGGUCACGGGUUAAAAAAUUUAUUGGAAGCAUAAUAUUAACGUGCGCUUGCUUCUUCCAAAACAGCAAGAGACUGAAUGCUGAGCCUCUCUGAAAAAGAAGCUGCGUUCUGUAAGACUGAAACGUUUAGCUGAGACCUUGUGUUAAUUUUUUACAACCCUAAACCCUAAACCCUAAACCACUUGCUCUUAAUUGUCACCCGCAUUACCGUAGGAAUAGGAUUUCUCUCUAUCUCAGUUUUACUAAAUUUUUAAAAAUUUAUUUUUAUGUGUCUUUUAAUUAUAGUAUAUAAAUAAAAUUUUAUUUUUUAAUUUUUUUAAUUUAUUAACUAUCAAUCAUUUUAAAUUAUUUAAUAUGAUCAGAUCAAAAGAAAAUUUUUAUCUUUUAAUUUAACUAUGUCAAUUAAUAUUACAUAUCCUAAUUUUCUUAAAUGAUGCGGCAUUUAUUAAUUAGACACUAAGAUAGCACUAUUAAUUUAUUUAUAUAUUUUAUAAAAAACUAUCAAUCACUUACAUUACAUACUAUAUUCUGAAAAAAAAAUUUGAGUUAUCUAUUAUUAUUUAAAAAGGAGGAGUAAUUUUGGUAUGCUAAGGUUAUUUCACAAACGUAAUAAAGAAAUUUGUGAUGAUGAACACAGUGAUAGGGCAAUUAUUGAAGCAGCAAUGACUUCGUCUGUUGCGCGUGGGAAAUCUAUUAGUAAUAUAAAGGAAAAUAAAAAGUACCCUAUGUCUUUUCAACUAUUAUUAUUUUUCCAAGGCGAACUAGCCAAAUAUGUAUGAUAAAUGUCCCUAAUAUUUUUUCUGUAAAUACAAAGACAAAUUAAAUUCAACUAGAACAAAAGUCUUUCACUGGAACCCAAUAGAUAAAAGACCAAAAUGAUAUCUAGACAUACCUCAUUGUAUAGCAAUGGAAGCUUACAAGUUAAAAUAGUAUUUAUAAUCUUUUGUAACUUUCAAAUUCUGCAUUGGAUUCUGCAACUCAUCAAGAUUAGCUUUUUAGAUCUCAUAUAUAUUUUAGCAUCUCCACGAAGGAAAAAUAAAAUAAAACUGCAAGAAUUGAGUCUGGUGAUAAGAAGCACGCAUGAGAAUGAUGUUACCCAUUUUUGUUAACAAAAAUUUCAAGGAAGAAAAUAAAGUGAGAAAGAAAGAAUUAUGUUUGUGAAAAUGGAAGAGAAGGUAGGAAUUGUAUUAUAAGACUGCAAUGUUAAGUGGCUUGGUUGUGUAGGUGAGACAUUUCAUCGAACUUCUUUACAUUUCCAUCAAACACCUUGUUCUUUAACCGUCUGUGACGUCCUUUAUACCCGUCCAUAGACAUUAAAUUGGCUGAUGUCAAGUGAAUUUGAGACUACAAAUGUGCAGCUCUUGCCUUAAUCUCCUUAGAAUCCUGAAGGGUGAAAACUUAUACCUUAUAGACUUAAGGUACGUUUAGGAUUGAAGUGUUAUAACUUUUAAGCUACAGUUGCUGUAAAAAAAAAAAAUUUAAAUAAUAAUUUUGAUGAAAUUAUUAAUAAUAAUAUAAUAAAUUCUCCAUUAUACAAGUGAAAAAUUAUAUCAACAUAUCUUUCAAGACACAACAAUUAGUAUUUACUAAACACUUUACUACUGUACCUUUUAAGGUACAGGUAUCCAACUUCAAUUCUAAAUGCACUCUCAUAUGUAUACCCUUUAUAUAAGGCUGAUAGAGUAAUGUAAACUAUAUUGUCCUUUUUUUCUUGUGUUAAUUGAAAUAAUUAAAACUCAAAAUUUGUAAGUGAGGCCACUUGAUUGCAGCAAAGGAGAGCAGUGAAGGGAAGAUAAAAUUUUACCGACAUUGAACUUGUUAUUUCUCUCUCUACUAUAUUGUAGUGUUUACUUUUUAGAGUGGGAGUUUGGAGUGUGGAGUGUGGAGUGUGGAUUCCUCCCACUCUCCCACUCUAGUGUUUACUUAUCUUAAAAAAGGGGGAAGUGGGAGUGGGAAUCCGUGGGUCCCACCCAAUUUUGGAGUGGGAAGUGGGAUUCCCACUCCCAUGGGGGGAGGUGGGAGUGGGAAUCCACUCCCCCCUCUUCCCAUUUUAUCCCUAUAAUUAAAUUAAUAAAUAAUAUUUAAUAAAAUAAAUAAUAUCAUAUUUAUUAAAAAUAAUAAUGAUAUCAUAUUUAUUUUAUUAAAUUUAAUAAAAUAAAAAUAAAUAAAUAUUAUAUUUAAAUUAAUAAUAUUAAACAUUAUUAAUUUUAAUAAAUAUUAAUUAAUUAUUUAAUUAAUAAUAAUAAAUAUUUUAUUCUAAAAAAAUAUUAAUUUUGUACUAUAUUAUCAAUAAUAAUAUUUCAUUUGUGUUGUUAUUAUUAAUAAUUUUUAUUCACAUAAUUUAAAUUAAAAUUAAUAAAAAAUUAUGAUUUACAUAAUUAAGAAUAUUAGUAAUUAUUAUUAAUUUAGAAAUAUAAUAAAAUAUUUAUUUUAUUUUCCAAAUAUUUUUUAUUAAUUUUUUAAUUAUAAAUUAUAAUUCUGUACAUAAGGAUAAAAUUGUAAUUUAAAACAAUUUACUCCCAAUCCAAGACAAAGUAAACAAAUAAUUAGGAUUCUGAUUGACAAUCUAUACUUUCACACCCUACUCUACACUCCUAAUCCAAGGAUUCCCACUCCUCAGGAUUCCCACUCCAAUCCAAAAAGUAAACGCAGCAUAUAUAUAUUAGCUUGUUGUUAAUUAUAAUCUUUGCAACCAAAUAAUGUAGAAUAUGUAUACGGGUGCGAAAUUUUCCAUAGGGAAUUCAGUGUUCGAUUUAAACUGCACUUUUAUAGUUUGUUCUCCAUUUACUCCUUACUUUCAGAUCUUUGUGACAAUCACAAUUUUGUCAACCAAAAUAAAGGUCGCAUUCAAGCAAAUUAAAUGUGACCUUUGGACAUUAGCAUCAACCUCUAAAGUGAUAGCAGUAACAAACAGCUCAGCACAAAUAAUUGAGGCCCUGCACUUUCAUUAGAGGAUGGGAGAAGAGAACACUUGAUUUGAUAGCAAGACGCCAAGACCAGGACAGAGACCAAGACGAAGACCGAUGAAAAGCCCUAAACAAACCAAAAAAUAAAAAUAAAAAUGCAGUUAUGAUUAUCGUCGAAUACUUCAAACAUACGACAAGUCCAAGUUUAGCUAAGGCCUAGUGUAUAAAUUUUCUACAAGCUGUUGAAUGAGAAAAUUUGUCUAAUUCUUAAGUCUUACCUGCCAAUCACAUCAUUUUAAAUUUAGUCUGUUGAGUAGAAUUUUACUUUUAUAAUUUUUAUCUCAAAAAUCUAUUUUAAAUUAUAUAAUAUUUAUUAAUUAAAUAAUAAAAUAGCAUAAUUAAUUUAUUUAAAUCCUAUAUUAAAUUAUCAAUCACUAAAUAAAUGACACAUUACAUACUAUAUUAUUUAAAAUAAAAAUUUAAAAUAUUUACCGUUACUUAAAAAAAUUAAUUUCCUUUUCCUAAAGUUAUUUCACAGACGCAAGUACAAAAUUCUGUGAUCAUGCACAAAGUGAUAGGGCAAUUAUUGAAUAAAUAUCUCACCAAAUAUAAUUAUAGCAAAUUAAAUAAAUAUUUACUAUGACUUCAGCAUCUGAGUUCCCACUCUAUAAAUAUGCCAGCAUUUUAAAACAAACAAGACUUAAGCGACAAAUACAAUUUUGUCGACGAGUAAAAAGGUCGCAUUCAAGCCAAAGGAGAAAUUCUUUCCAGUGGGAGGAUUCUAAAACCAAGAAUCCACUGCUGAAAUUUUAUUAACUGAAAAUAGAUAACGAUUGACACACCAGACAACAACAACAAGAUGCAAUUAAAUCUAAUGAAAAUUAAAAAAAGAAAAAAGAAAUACAUAUUCAAACAUAUUAAUGAAAAUCAUCCCCAAGUACGACACCGGAAGAGAAAGCAUUUUGGGUGGCUUGGUCCUCCCAUUGUAGCUCUUCCCACCAUUUUUUCGACCCCUCGAUGACAACUCGACGUUCCUUCGCGCUGCUGGAAUUGAGUGGGAGCUUCUUCAGCUGUCGGCAUUCACGUACUUCAAUUUUCUUCAGCUUUGGAAAGGGCAGGGGAUUCGGGUAAACGCUCUUUAAAUUUCUUCCCCACUUUAUGGUUAGAGAUUCGAGUUGUGCAAAAAAGUUAUGCUCUGACCCGAUUAUCUUCGAAAUAUCUCUCAAUUUAUCAACACUAAUUAUUUCUUCCGUUUCUGUACAAAAGACUAUACGCAGCUGCUUGAGAAUUUGAACAAAAACUAGCCACGUUAAGUCUUUCAUUUUUUUGCAACUCCAUAUGACAACUCUGUCGAGACUGCGGAAACCACUUUGAAAAAGUUUCUUUACCUCUUCUGUGCUGUCAGUCUUCAUCUCUUCCAAAUUACUGUCUGAAAUGCGUAACUCCUGAAGAUUCUCCAUGUAUGCUAGAUGUAAGACAUUGAACGGUGGACUUUCACAUUGGCAAACCAUUACAGAUUGAGUGAUGCUCACCAGCUUUGGAUAUUUCAAAAACUUUUGGACAGCAAGUGAACUUCGGAAGGUCCAGCUUAAAACAUUUAAAUGCUUCAAACCCAGCAAUUCCUUCAUCAAAGGUUCAGCAUCAUCACAUAGAACGUUACCUUCUAUUACGCUCCAGCGACCGCGUGAAAGCAACCUGAGUACCUCCAACUUUGAAAAGCCA